UGCAAGUCGAGCGGAAACGAUCCCAGCUUGCUGGGAGGCGUCGAGCGGCGGACGGGUGAGUAAUGCAUAGGAAUCUGCCCGGUAGUGGGGGAUAACUUGAGGAAACUCAAGCUAAUACCGCAUACGCCCUACGGGGGAAAGCAGGGGCUCUUCGGACCUUGCGCUAUCGGAUGAGCUUAUGUCGGAUUAGCUAGUUGGUGAGGUAACGGCUUACCAAGGCGACGAUCCGUAGCUGGUCUGAGAGGAUGAUCAGCCACAUCGGGACUGAGACACGGCCCGAACUCCUACGGGAGGCAGCAGUGGGGAAUAUUGGACAAUGGGCGAAAGCCUGAUCCAGCCAUGCCGCGUGUGUGAAGAAGGCCCUCGGGUUGUAAAGCACUUUCAGUGAGGAAGAAGGCUUGUCGGUUAAUACCCGGCAGGAAGGACAUCACUCACAGAAGAAGCCCCGGCUAACUCCGUGCCAGCAGCCGCGGUAAUACGGAGGGGGCAAGCGUUAAUCGGAAUUACUGGGCGUAAAGCGUGCGUAGGCGGCUUGGUAAGCCGGUUGUGAAAGCCCCGGGCUCAACCUGGGAAUGGCAUCCGGAACUGUCAGGCUAGAGUGCAGGAGAGGAAGGUAGAAUUCCCGGUGUAGCGGUGAAAUGCGUAGAGAUCGGGAGGAAUACCAGUGGCGAAGGCGGCCUUCUGGACUGACACUGACGCUGAGGUACGAAAGCGUGGGUAGCAAACAGGAUUAGAUACCCUGGUAGUCCACGCCGUAAACGAUGUCGACUAGCCGUUGGGGUCCUUGAGACCUUUGUGGCGCAGUUAACGCACUAAGUCGACCGCCUGGGGAGUACGGCCGCAAGGUUAAAACUCAAAUGAAUUGACGGGGGCCCGCACAAGCGGUGGAGCAUGUGGUUUAAUUCGAUGCAACGCGAAGAACCUUACCUACCCUUGACAUCGUGCGAACUUGGUAGAGAUACCUUGGUGCCUUCGGGAGCGCACAGACAGGUGCUGCAUGGCUGUCGUCAGCUCGUGUUGUGAAAUGUUGGGUUAAGUCCCGUAACGAGCGCAACCCUUUUCCUAUUUGCCAGCGAUCCGGUCGGGAACUCUAAGGAGACUGCCGGUG
rnacentral:rRNA from 1 species